AAGCUUGAAAUCGUCAGUGUCAUCGUCACGUCUUCGUCACGGUAAUCACACCGCCCCGUGCGGAGACAAAAACUAUUCGCUUCCGUCCUGUCCACCAUUUUGAAGAAUGCAGGCGGCGGCUCGUGAAGGUCCGAGAGUUUUCUCAGUAAUAACAAGAGAAUGAAAGUAAUGUUGAUAAACCACUUGAAACAUUCCUGAAACCUGAUUGUCCGCUACAGAACAAUGCUAAUUGUUGACCAUUUAGACAUCAGUGUCCUCACAUGGAUGUGAUUCGAAAGGACAUCGUUAUCGUCGGACCUGGAGGCUUUACUGAGAUCUUUACGGUCCAUAAAACCACACAAUCUGAGCAUCACUCUGAAUUCCAGUUAUCCCAGUAUGGAGAGUUAUAGUGGUUCCUUCCACUUCCUGCAGUGUGACCGUCUCGUCUCCAGCUUCACACAGUAAACCUGCAUCACAGCUUCAGCUUCAUCAUUUCACUCACAAACAUCAUCACAUCAUCAUCACAUACAGUCCAUUAAAUCUACACUGUGAUACAGAUCUGUGAUUUCAGUUGAUGCUGCUUUCAACUUCAAAAUGCAGAAACUUUACAUUUCAGGGAAUCUGAUAUAUUCUGUAGAAAAUAUAUUAUUAUUUACUGCAGUAGUUCAUCUAAAACCAGAUACAGGAUGUUAUAAUAUGCAGUGCCUUGAAGAAGUAUUCACCCCCUUAAAUCUCACAAGAUUUCAUUUAUAAAUAACUCACAUAUUGUUCCAGUCUGUAUUUUUAUUCCAAACCAAUCAGCACUUAAAGUAAACUUUACUACAUUUACAAUGUGGAAAUUCAUUAUUUAUUUUGGGACAAAUUUCUGGGUUAUUCUUAGCAGAUGAAAGCAGGUUCUUUUGUCAGAAAUCAUUCUUUCAUUAAUUUCUCCCAGAAUGAAAAGCUUUCCCAGAGCAUGAUGCUGCCACCACCAUAUGUUACUAUAGAGAUUGGUGUUAAUCAGGGUCACACCACACACAGAACCUGAAUACAGUAUUUAGAUCAUUGCCUCAUCACAAUAAAACCCACAUCUUCACUGGGUCACUGUUGUGCUUUCAUACAGCUCUUCUUGAGUAACUGGUUUGUUUUUAGCCGUGUCUCCCACACAGUCCUGAGCUACACAGAGCUCUUGUAAAGGUGUGGUGCAGCUUCACUCCAUUCUCAGACGCUCUACUCUGUAACUCCUUCAGGGUGACUGUUGGCCUCACUGUGGCUUCCAUCACCAGUCAUUAUCUAGGUAGUGUUUGUGUAGGUGAUGUGGAUGCAGCUUCCACUUCCUCAAUACUGACCUCAAUGGGAUGUCCAACCAACUGGAUAUAAUUUUACACCCUGUUCCAUCCUGAAUAUCUAUUACAUUAUCUUUAAUUUUCUUAGAAAUCUCCUUACUUCAUUUUCACCUCAUUCAUACAGACUGUGUCUUCAAUGGCACUUCAAUAAAAGUGAUUUUUUAUCAGAAUUGAAGCUGUUUAAAUGAAGUCAAUUUCAGGUGAAAUAUUUCAUUGUUAAGAGAAUAUCUUUCAUCUGAGCUUUGAGAUACUUGGACAUCAAUAAUUCAUUUUUACUGGAAAUUGACUAUAGAACAGGAGUGCAGUAAAAAUACUGAGAGGAAGAAUCAUUCAUUAUUUGUAAUUCUGACAAAUCUGAUCAGUUCUGAGGGGGCUGAAAACUUUUGCAAGACUUUGUACAUUUAGAGUUAUCUUUAUUUAAGGAAAAAAAGGAUUUCCACUGAAAAAAAAUCAAUAUAAAAUUGAUGCUGGAUCAUUUGUGUCUAGUUUUCAUGAAUCAGAUGCUCCAGUUUUUAUAUAAUUGCUGAUUUUAGAGAAGGGUGAAGUCAUCAGAGUGGAAAACAUCAUCACAAAUCAGCAUAAUGAUUCUAUUACACCAUGCACUUUUAUUAUUUAAUCUUAAUUGCAAAUGAUAAAAAGGUAUUAAACUGGACCUUUCCCAGUCACUGGACUGAUACCAUCCAGAAAACACCUUCAGUACCUUAAUGUGAACUUCUAGAUAUCACUCUAAACUCUAUUUAAGGUACAGGAGUGUUUCCUAAGCUUGUUGUUCCUUAAAUACAUUAAAAGUAAACAACACAACCCUCUAAAGUUAUAACAGAUGUGUUUAUAAAAUCCAGACCAGUGAUAAUAAUAAUGAAGGUUUAGUAUUUAUUCAGAGUCUGUAAUACAAACUAAACAAAGGUUAAUGUUUUAAUUGAAAAGUUAAAGUGAUGUGAAAUGUGAUCUUUUCAUUGGACUCAUUAACACACAGCUCUAAACUGCUGUAUCACUGUUCAGCUCAACACUGAGGAAAAUUCAUUCUAUCCAACACACCAGCUAAAUAUCCACUCUACUCUUUCCUCCUGAAUUCUUGUGUAAGACUCUUUAUAUUUCCAGCUCCAGUGUGUUGUGUUGUACAAUAAAGGAGUAAACUUACAGCACAAUAGGAGGUGAAGACACCGGAGAAUCCUGUUUCCUGCUAAAAUAUUCACCAUUUUCAUAAUCCAUAGUAAGCGUUUCUCACACAAACAUUUUCCCGUCGUCCUGAACAUCAGUGUCAGAGAAGAAUUUAAUACCAAUUUCAGAUCAGAUCCAUGAUAAAAGUUUCUGCUGUACACACGUUUCCGAUGCUGUUAGCUUAGCGUCUUUUCUGGCUCACAUCCAUUAACCCGCUGGAGCUCCUCCUGUUCAGUGUGAACAUGCUCACUACACACUCUCCCCUCAGCUCGGGGUUCAACACCUUUUUAGCUGUUUUCACAUGGAUUUACUGCUGGAUCUCAUAUGGGAUAAUAGGAAAAGACAAUAAUAAUUAUUAAUAAUAUAUUUUAAGUGGUUUAUAAUUAUGUAAUCUUCUACCAGUGUUAAAUGUAUAAAUAUAUGUUUUGUAUUUAAAAGAACAGUUCAGGACACUGAACAUUGCAAUUGGCUUGUAAUUGUUAUCUGAUGUCACGUGAUGCAUUUCAUAAAUAAUUAGCUGAUCUAAACUGUUAAUAUUCUCAUCCUGAACUCAUUUAAUUUCUAUUUUACAGUUUCAGAGCUGUGCCAUGCCUCUGUACUCCAGUAUUAAAAUAAACAGCAAUAACAGAUCACAUAAAUCUGACCAGUGGACACUGGCAGCACAUCACUAGGACGACUGGAUUUUGCAGCAGGAAUGCAUUUAACUUUUUAUACUAAGUGCAGUGACAAUUUGCCCCAAUGUGUGAAUAAGUGUGUGUGUGUGUGUGUGUGUGUGUGUGUUCCAUCCAGAUUGUGUUCCCAGUUCAUGCCUGAUGUUCCUUAGAUCUGGAUCCACCUCCAUUCACACCAGGAUACACCAUUUACAGAAAGUGUGUGUGUGUGUGUGUGUGUGUUUGUGUGUGAACAAGUGCAAACACUGAAACUCUUUCUGAAAUUCUUUUGAACUCUACAGUAAAAGCAGCUUGUAUGAUGUAGAAGAAGGUAAGUGUUCAGGGCUUCAGUGUCUCACAUCUAGUCAUCAGUCUGCAUUAGAAACUAAAGAUUUUUUUUAUUCUUGUGGUAAUUUGCAUAUAAAAUGAACUGAUGCUCAUUUUCCAUGUAAAUUUAAAUCAGCUGUGAGAAACGCUCCACAUAAGUCGUUGUGAAUUUUGCAGUGUGACUAAACCCAAGAGCAGUUCUGACUGUGAUUAUUACAGGGCUUUGUGUUUGUGUGUGUUAGUUCAAACACUGAUACACAAUAACAGCAUUAAUGAAGUGUUCCUUAAACGUCUGUUCUUACAUUUCUCUGUUUUUAACCUGGUGACUGUAUUGUUCCUGAACUGAAGUGUUGUUUGUGUCAUGAAGACCUCGAAAUAAAAAGAAUCUACAAGAGCUCUGACCCAGAUAAAACACACCACAGAGAUUAAACGAUUAAAAUAACCGGGUUUGAGCUUUUCCUGUAAAGUUCGUUUACACCAUGUCAGAAGUCUUUAUCAAAUCAAUCAAUUAACAAAGACUUUGAAGUCGUUAGCAAUGAGCAAAAAGAUGCUCUGAAUCAGCAGCAUUUAUGUGUCAGUGUGUAUAACAUACUUUUACAUUUCUAUUUUAUAUAAAUAUUUGGUGUUUAUUAGGAUUUAAUGAUUGUCAGUAAUCACUGUCAGUAAUUAUUUAUGGAGUCUGUUGUAGGAAGUUCAACACUGGACUGGAUUCCUGUCUAGAGUUAAAGAUUUUCACCCUCAGGUAGACGUUACAUUACAUACAGGUAACGUGUCAACUUCACUUCAGUCUGUACUUGUAACCUGAAAUAUCAUGCUGAUGAUUAAAACAUUUAAUAAAAUACUUGUUAUGUAA